UUAGUACUUCCUCCGUCUUAAAAUUCUUGUCUUACAUUUGUUUAAAAAUAGAUGUAUCUAAAUACAGAAACAUGACUAGAUACAUUCAUAUCUAGACAAAUGUAAGACUAAAAUUUUGGAUGGAGGGACUAUGUG
rfam:Hordeum vulgare subsp. vulgare, WGS project CAJW01000000 data, contig: morex_contig_1580274